rnacentral:ncRNA from 26 species
CAGUUUAAAACCAAGGGAAGGUAGUGUAAAUCUACCACUGUGCCGCAACCGUUAUAGUCGGGCUGCUUGGAUCCUUUCUUCUUCCUCGAGCUAAGGAAAAACUUUAUGUCAAAAGUUGAAAC